rnacentral:rRNA from 1 species
UGGGGAAUUUUGGACAAUGGGCGAAAGCCUGAUCCAGCAAUGCCGCGUGUGUGAAGAAGGCCUUCGGGUUGUAAAGCACUUUUGUCCGGAAAGAAAUCCUUGGCUCUAAUACAGUCGGGGGAUGACGGUACCGGAAGAAUAAGCACCGGCUAACUACGUGCCAGCAGCCGCGGUAAUACGUAGGGUGCAAGCGUUAAUCGGAAUUACUGGGCGUAAAGCGUGCGCGGGCGGUUUGCUAAGACCGAUGUGAAAUCCCCGGGCUCAACCUGGGAACUGCAUUGGUGACUGGCAGGCUAGAGUAUGGCAGAGGGGGGUAGAAUUCCACGUGUAGCAGUGAAAUGCGUAGAGAUGUGGAGGAAUACCGAUGGCGAAGGCAGCCCCCUGGGCCAAUACUGACGCUCAUGCACGAAAGCGUGGGGAGCAAACAGGAUUAGAUACCCUGGUAGUCCACGCCCUAAACGAUGUCAACUAGUUGUUGGGGAUUCAUUUCCUUAGUAACGUAGCUAACGCGUGAAGUUGACCGCCUGGGGAGUACGGUCGCAAGAUUAAAACUCAAAUGAAUUGACGGGGUCAUA